CGGGGGCAACGCCCGGUCUCAUUCCGAACCCGGAAGCUAAGCCCCGCUCCGUCCCCGGUGGUAGUUCGGUCUUCGGCCGAGCGAAGCCGGGGAAGCUCUGCUGGAC
rnacentral:rRNA from 1 species